UACGGGGGGGGCAAGCGUUGUUCGGAAUUACUGGGCGUAAAGGGCUCGUAGGCGGCCAACUAAGUCGGAUGUGAAAUCCCCAAGCUUAACUUGGGAACUGCAUCCGAUACUGGAUGGCUUGAAUCCGGGAGAGGGAUGCAGAAUUCCAGGUGUAGCGGUGAAAUGCGUAGAUAUCUGGAGGAAUACCGGUGGCGAAGGCGGCAUCCUGGACCGGCAUUGACGCUGAGGAGCGAAGGCUAGGGGAGCAAACGGG
rnacentral:rRNA from 1 species